GCGGAGCCCAAGAAGGCGGCACACGUCGGACCCGCCAUCCCGCAUCAGCCAGAGCCGCGGCUAGGAAGGAGCCUCAUCACGCAGAACACCAGCUCGCCGGCCGCAGGACGGAGGCAGGUGCAGGCCUCAGGAAGGGGAACUGAGCAGCGUUCGUUUGUGCGACCUCGCUGCGGCCACCGAGCACUGGUUAUCGCCCCCGCUCGCUACUGGGCUCCAGGACUCCCCCGCCGCGGGCCCCGCCUGGCCGCACCCCGGACUGCGCGGCGUCACAGAGCGCAUGCGUGCCGCGGGGGAUGCCGGGAGCGCGCAUUGGCGGCAGUGGCAGCGACGGCAGUAACAGCGGCCGCUCGAGCGGGGACACCAGCGGGGCGGUGACCGUGUGGGAGGUGGUCUCACUCUUGGGGAAACUGCUAGGGACCGUCGCCGCGCUGAAGGUGGUUCUGUACCUGCUCCGGGUGUGCUUCGCGAUGGCCUGGAAAUCCGGCGGCGCCAGCCACUCGGAGCUAAUCCACAACCUCCGCAAGAAUGGAAUCAUCAAGACAGAUAAAGUAUUUGAAGUGAUGCUGGCUACAGACCGUUCCCACUAUGCAAAAUCUAACCCUUACAUGGAUUCUCCACAAUCAAUAGGUUUCCAGGCAACAAUCAGUGCCCCUCAUAUGCACGCAUAUGCACUAGAACUUCUGUUUGACCAGCUGCAUGAAGGUGCUAAAGCCCUGGACGUGGGCUCUGGAAGUGGAAUCCUCACCGCCUGUUUUGCACGGAUGGUUGGAAAUAGUGGAAAAGUCAUUGGAAUUGAUCACAUUAAAGAACUAGUAGAUGACUCAAUAACUAAUGUCAAAAAGGAUGACCCAAUGCUCCUGUCCUCGGGGCGAGUGCGGCUGGUGGUGGGUGAUGGAAGAAUGGGAUACGCUGAAGAAGCCCCUUACGACGCUAUUCAUGUGGGAGCUGCAGCCCCAGUUGUGCCCCAGGCAGUCUGUUCUCAUCCCAGCACUGAAGGCAUCCAGUUUAACCUCCACAUGCAGCCCUGCUCUGAGGAUUCCCUUACCGUUGUCUGAGAGACGCCCUAGAUCCACCGCAAUCGGAUAGCACUUACUUGUUGGUUCUCUGUACUUCUCCCUUCUCCAUGCCCCCUUCCACAACAAUCUGCAACACGCUCCACUGGCAUUAGAGUUCUCUGUUGCAGUGUGUUCUGCCCAAACACACUGAGCUCUUUUGCUGUACCAGGCAGCUCUGUCAGGUGUUAUAAUGACAAAGAUGAAUAUAACGUAGCUUCUAUCAUCAAAUUACUUGUAGCUUAGUAGGGGAGGUGGAGAAAUAAAGGGGUAAGUGGGGAAUUAGUUACUAGAACUGUGCUUUGUGUUCUAUGCUGAACCAACAGGGAAUGAAAAGUAUUUUUUGGAGGGGAGGAGGUCCAGAAAGUUGAAAGAGCAGCAUUUAAGUUUGCUGUUACUAAGUCUAUACAAUGGAGGAAUGCAUAGGUCCCGUUAGAAAAACCAGUAACCUAGAGAUGGCUUAAGUGUAGGCGGGUGUAUAAUGUAUUAUAUGUAAGAGACCUGAGCCACUGGAUUUUGUUAAGCCUGACGGGUCCUGAAAUGAACCCCUGAGGACGCUAAGAUGUUCCUUAGGAAGUGCCUUUCUGCUUCUGCCCACGGACAUUGAAUGUUACUCACUGCACUGUCCGAUGGCAUGGCUGUUUCACACCUGUAACUUGCUAUGUGGGGUGUUUUGUUUUUUCUCCUAGUUAAUAGACCAGUUAAAGCCUGGUGGAAGAUUGAUAUUGCCAGUCGGUCCUGCAGGAGGAAACCAAAUGUUGGAGCAGUAUGACAAGCUACAAGAUGGCAGUGUCAAAAUGAAACCUCUCAUGGGGGUGAUAUACGUGCCUUUAACAGAUAAAGAAAAGCAGUGGUCCAGGGAUGAACUGUGAAAGCAACGUGAGCUUGACCAGUCUAUAAACCGCAGUGGGCCGCUCCUCUCGGUCCUUACAGCAUUUGAGAACCAACAGCAUCACAGCUUGUUUUGGACUUUGUUACACUCUUACUUUCAGCAUGAAAACGUGUGGUUUUGUAGGAUUUCCUAAUUCCAAACGGCGCGGAGCCAAACUGAUAGAGGAAGGCUGCAGAGCGUUAACUGCGUGUGUUGUUUUAACAUGCCCACAUUUCACUUUAAAAAAAUAUUAAAAGAAAGAGUUCUCCAACUGGAAAAAUUAGUUUUGAAGAGUGGCUUUGCUUUUCUUGGGCACUUAAUUCUGUUCCAAUAUUAAUUCAUCAGAUUUAUUUUGUGCAUCAGAUAACACCACAUUCACAAGUUUAGCUUCUUUGGUAGCCAAUGUCUGUUAGAUGCUACUAAGAAAACAGAGAUGAGCUUUCUUCUUAAAAGCCUUUGAUGUGGCGUCAUAGGAUAGCAUGUCGUAGAUACAAUCAGCUGCUGUUACCUUAAAACUAGGUGUUUGUAAAUACUGAAACUUGAGACGACGAUGAUGGCAGGUGGUGUCCCAAAAACACUCAGCUGUUCCGAUUGGAAAUUUUGAUGUAAAUUUCCUCUCUCUAAAAAUGCUAGGAGGCUUGUAGCUCAAUAUCAUUUAUUUGUUUCUAGUUUGCUGCUGGUAAUGUAUCUGCAUCUAACAUUCUGUGUAAGCGGUCGUGUCUUUGCACAGUUUAUGCAGCGCUGCUUUGCCAAAUAAAAUUAAAAGCAAAAGAAGCAUUGGUGGCCUUUGAAUCUAGAAGGACACAGGUCUGCUAGGUCCAGAUGCUGCCCACAGUCCUGGGGAAGCGUCGUAGUCUUAUGAUAUUCUAGGAGGUAGAUAUGCAUAGCAUUCGUCCACUCUAUGUGGCUGCAUUUCUUCAGGAUGGAGACUCUGUGUUCAUUGUUUCUCUCUGCCUUCCUAGCCCAAGGCUUGCUUUUUAAUAGCUCUGUAGUAAAUGCUCAAUGAGUGACUGGGUGAAUGUAGUAUGAGGAAGAAUGUGGUUGAGAGUAAACAUACUGAAAUCCAUGUCUCAUCUAUAAAUAGAUUCAUUAAUUUAAUAACUGUAAAAUGUCUGUGAAGGCAAUGGCACUUUGAAGAUCUUAUUUAAAUAUGGUUUUAUAUUUUCUAAUAAGACUUUAGUUUUUUGUGAAGAUCCUAGAACUUGAGAGAAGAUUAGAAGCUCCCGGUAAAUGGGGCUAAGCAAAGCGAAGCCUUCCCUCUAUGUGUAAGGGCACAUGAUUCUGACAAGAAGACUCUUAGUGUCUGAGAAGCCCAUCCCCACUCUUCACAUCUUAAAUUACUGAUUUAAAAGUCAUGCAGACAUCACCUGACAAGUGUCUCUUCUUGGCUUAGGUCUCAGUCCCAGGAAACUAGCAUUACUGUGGUCCCGCAGACUUGAAAACCUUAACCAGCUUUGGUUUGCUGCUGGUUGUUGCUUUGGAAUCCUGUCAGUGACCCCCUGGAGUCCAGGAUGCAUGGUCAUUUGAAAUAUGUGUAAAGUCAAAUGUUCACUCAGGCUUUAAAGCAAAUAAAUUCUUAAACUUACCCACCAGUCUGGAUCCUUGGUAGUCAUUGCACAUUACAGCACGCAAAUCUCUGUGCUGGGCUUCAGGACGGAAGAGGUGCUUCCAGGUCAGUUUGCCGUCCAGUGGCGGGGACAGUUUAUAAAUAGGCACCAUACACUUCACCCAGUUUGUACAGAAACUCUGUGCCCAAGCCUUGCUCUUAGACUUGACACUUUUAGGAGGUGAAACUUUAGGAUGUUGAAUGAACAGCCAGUUUGAACAGCAGCACUAAGUGGGUAGAGAUAGAAGAAUGGUGUUAAUGAGGUCUAAGCCCUUUAAAAGAGUUGAAUUUAUAUAUGUGUUUAAGACAGGUAAGAAAUGCCUGAUUUUCAGUGUGCAUAAUUUCCAGAGCAUUUUAUUUUCCUCAUAGAAAGUACAUCUGAAUACACAUAAUGUAAAGGGCAAUGAAGAUACUUCGAGUCAUUAUAGGUAGUGUGAUCUUGUGAAUAAACUCUUCCUAUAAAUUUGCUCUUCCUAGAAGCUAAAUCUAGUUGUCAGACUUGGGUUGCAGCAAUAAGCUUAUGUCAGGGUUGAGUUUCUCUUCAGGGCUGCUUGCUCUUUCCCAGCCAGGAACAGGACAAAUCGGCACCCAGGGAAAUAACUACUACUGGCCACACCAAUACUUAGGACUUCAUCCCCCUUGCAGCUGCCAUGUUUUAUUGUUUGUUUGUUUAUUUGUGGCAGGUGGGGGUGGAUAGCAAGAUGGCUCGGGGUAAAGAGGCUUGCUGCCAAACCUGAAGACCUGAGUUUCACCCCUCCCCCCUCCCAGACCCACAGAGUAGAAGGACAGCUGACACCUGCAGAUUGUUCUCUGACCUUCAGGCAUGGUAGCACUUGCCUGAAAUCCCAGCACUUGGAAGCAGGAAGGGUCAGAAGUCAUCCUAGGUUACACAAGUUCAAGGCCAGCCCGAAUUUCAUGAGAGCCUGCCUUAAAGGAAAGAAAAAACCAAAAAGUUUCUACAGUGCAUCUCUUCACUAAAGCAUCGUAAGCAUUGAGUGGAUUCUAAAGGAGCCAUUUUUAAAGUAAUAACUUUGUAAACUCUUCAAGCUGUUCUUGAAGGAAUUCCUCAGAGUGUUUAAGGCCUUUUAUCUCUCUAGAGUUUUCUAAUUUCUGGUAGUUUAGUGUGGCAUCAAAGAAAGUCAUGACAGUGUUGUCACCCAGCACUGAUAGACAAAUAGUAAGCAUGAGUCAUCUUAUAAAUUGUUGUAGAACUCAACCGGCUGAUAACUUAUUUUAGGUAAGCACUUAAACUCUUGUAGCAUACAGAUCAUUUCUUAUCGAAUGCUGUGUUCCUGAUGCCCUAAUAUCUUAAUGUAUUCUGUAGUGGAGAUGGGCCCUGACUGGACUUUGGUUGCAUCUCUGAGCUUCCACCAUCUUUCAGAAAGAUGGUAGUAUUUUGCCCUUAGCAUUGUUAAAGGUUCUCACUCAGUAAGGGGACCCACUUGAAAAGGGUACUGGCCCAAGGAAGCCUGGGACUGUGCACUGGAAUAUAAUAAAGUGGAAAUGAAGUCUAA